UCUACCCACUCUCCCCAAUGCCUUCUCUGGGGCUGGUUGCUCUCAUCUGGUCCCUCAUCCUGUGCCCACUUUCAUCUCCUGGCCUCCAUCCUUGGAAUUAAUGCUCUGGGUGACAGUGAGACACCCGGUUUUCAGGAAGAAAAGGUUAAUGGGGAAAGAGCUAAUCCACAAAUCCAUUUUCAAUGUAUCUUCACUCCUGGCACUGUUUUCAGGAUUUUACUUGACUCUGCCCAAUGCAGCUUUCCGAAGCCCACCCUCACGUAGAGAUGCAGCUCCCAGAACAGUCCAGCUGAAGGCGCAGCGGCAGUCCUUUGAAUCAUCAUAAAAGUACAGUUUUAAAGUUUUUUUUUUUAAUAGAAAAGUAUUUAAAAGCUAAGAAAAUAAACCAAGUGAAGACAUAAUUGGUCA
ensembl:lncRNA